GGAUUUGGGACACGGGACUAAGGCCGCUGACUCUGCAUCCCUUACAAGCAUACACAGCUGCCUGCCCUUUUGCCUUGUGUCCAUCCUGGAGCGGCCUUCUGCAAGCUUCUAUGUUGCCUGUCCUCAGUCCACUUGAAUCUCUUGAGAGAGCUGAGUCCUGUGUCUUCCUAGGCCCUGCCACAGGGACUUGGACGGCCUGCCUGUUGAGGCGGAUGUCCCUGGCCCCAGUGUUCCCUGCUUUGGAUGAUGUGGGGCAGCAUCCACUUGAAUGCACUUCACCAAGGAGGCCAAGGUUUUGGAAGGAAGCCCUUCUCCACUCCCAUCUCAAUAUUAGACCAUCGGAGCAUGGGACAGGAAGCUCUGGCG